UUGUAACCACAAGAGGAGUCAGUCUUGAGAUAAAGAUUCUUGGUAAAAUCAUUUAGUCAUCAAAUCAGGCAUACCUGAAGCCGGCCCUCCUCUAGACUUUGUAGACUGCAGCCUUUGGAAGGAAGGCACACAUGUCAAGCACACAUGUCAAGAGUGGAUAAUUUUCCUCCCCUUCUUGAGAGUGAAGCAUCUGAUUUCCCAGAAGCCUCACCAGAUGAGUAAUGAAGGUCACUUCCAGGCAGGUGCAGGAACCUCAGGAUAUUUUGGGGACCUCAUGAAGAGGAAUAUGCCCAAUUCUACAGCUGAUCAAGGAGGUGUCUGUCCUUUGAAUAACACCACCUGCCAUGUAUAGGUUGACAAUUUUGAGGAAGCUAAAACUCAAAAUAAGGACAAGCUGCUUGACUUUAAAAAGCUACUAACCACCAAGCAAAUUAUCCCCCUGAGACUGGAACAUCUAAGGAACAACAACAACAAAAAUUAUCAACUUAAAAAAUGUCAACUGGAAAAUGUGACCAAUGAAUAUCACAGAGGUUAAGUAAAAAUGUCAUGGCCUAUUGAUGCCUCACAGAGGAGCAAAGUUGUAGGAACUUCAGUGAGAUAGGUUAGAGAGAAGCCAAUGCCUUCAAGCUUGAUAACAUCUGUCAGUUAAGCUGAGAGUCUGCUCGAAAGUGAAGAAUUGUUAUGAAGAAAACCACAGGCCCAAAAUGGUGUCACUUAGACUAAGUUCCUAUAGCAGGGCUUGAUACCUAUUCUAAUUUCAGCUUCAACCUCCCCCAGAAAUGUAGUUUUAACCAGUCAGGAAUACUGGUCAGUGCCAAUCAGUCUGCCACCUGGGUCCUUUCCAUCCCUCAAAGGAAGAGUAAUAUGCAUGAU